UACGUAGGGACCAAGCGUUGUUCGGAUUUACUGGGCGUAAAGGGCGCGUAGGCGGCUUGACAAGUCACUUGUGAAAUCUCCGGGCUUAACUCGGAACGGUCAAGUGAUACUGUCGGACUAGAGUACAGAAGGGGCAACUGGAAUUCUCGGUGUAGCGGUGAAAUGCGUAGAUAUCGAGAGGAACACCUGCGGCGAAGGCGGGUUGCUGGGCUGAUACUGACGCUGAGGCGCGAAAGCCAGGGGAGCGAACGGG
rnacentral:rRNA from 1 species